rnacentral:rRNA from 1 species
GAUCCUGGCUCAGGAUGAACGCUGGCGGCGUGCCUAACACAUGCAAGUCGAGCGGAGCGCUUUGCUUAGAUUCUUCGGAUGAAGAGGAUUGUGACUGAGCGGCGGACGGGUGAGUAACGCGUGGGUAACCUGCCUCAUACAGGGGGAUAACAGUUAGAAAUGACUGCUAAUACCGCAUAAGACCACAGCACCGCAUGGUGCGGGGGUAAAAACUCCGGUGGUAUGAGAUGGACCCGCG